GACGAACGCUGGCGGCGUGCUUAACACAUGCAAGUCGAGCGGUAAGGCCCUUUCGGGGGUACACGAGCGGCGAACGGGUGAGUAACACGUGGGUGACCUGCCCUUAGCUCUGGGAUAAGCCUGGGAAACUGGGUCUAAUACCGGAUAUGACCUCAUGACUCAUGUUGUGGGGUGGAAAGCCUUGUGCGGCUAGGGAUGGGCCCGCGGCCUAUCAGCUUGUUGGUGGGGUAAUUGCCUACCAAGGCGACGACGGGUAGCCGGCCUGAGAGGGCGACCGGCCACACUGGGACUGAGACACGGCCCAGACUCCUACGGGAGGGCAGCAGUGGGGAAUCUUGCGCAAUGGGCGAAAGCCUGACGCAGCGACGCCGCGUGAGGGAUGACGGCCUCGG
rnacentral:rRNA from 1 species